rfam:Gossypium raimondii Chr04_contig_1078, whole genome shotgun sequence.
GUGUUCGUAGAAAGGAGAGAUGGUUGGCAUCUCCCCUGACAGGGACGGGAACAGCUUUCGGGCUUUCCUGUUAACACAUCCGGUUAAGGCUUCCCACCUAUUUGGUGGAUCUAUAACCCAAUUUUUUU